UGACGAGUUUGAUCCUGGCUCAGGACGAACGCUGGCGGAAUGCUUUACACAUGCAAGUCGAACGGUAGAGGGGGCAACCCCUCGAGAGUGGCGAACGGGUGAGUAAUAUAUCGGAACGUGCCCAGUCGUGGGGGAUAACGUAGCGAAAGUUACGCUAAUACCGCAUACGAUCUAAGGAUGAAAGCGGGGAUCGCAAGACCUCGCGCGAUUGGAGCGGCCGAUGUCUGAUUAGCUUGUUGGUGGGGUAAAGGCUCACCAAGCCAACGAUCUGUAGCUGGUCUGAGAGGACGACCAGCCACAUUGGGACUGAGACACGGCCCAAACUCCUACGGGAGCAGCAGUGGGGAAUAUUGGGGCAAUGGAGGAAACUCUGACCCAGUGACG
rnacentral:rRNA from 1 species